rnacentral:rRNA from 1 species
UUCAGGCCUAACACAUGCAAGUCGAACGCACUCUUCGGAGCGAGUGGCAGACGGGUGAGUAACGCGUGGGAACCUACCCAGUAGUACGGAAUAACUCAGGGAAACUUGUGCUAAUACCGUAUACGCCCUUCGGGGGAAAGAUUUAUCGCUAUUGGAUGGGCCCGCGUUGGAUUAGCUUGUUGGUGAGGUAACGGCUCACCAAGGCUACGAUCCAUAGCUGGUCUGAGAGGAUGAUCAGCCACACUGGGACUGAGACACGGCCCAGACUCCUACGGGAGGCAGCAGUGGGGAAUAUUGGACAAUGGGGGAAACCCUGAUCCAGCCAUGCCGCGUGAGUGAAGAAGGCCCUAGGGUUGUAAAGCUCUUUCGCCAGGGAAGAUAAUGACGGUACCUGGUAAAGAAGCCCCGGCUAACUUCGUGCCAGCAGCCGCGGUAAUACGAAGGGGGCUAGCGUUGUUCGGAAUUACUGGGCGUAAAGCGCACGUAGGCGGACUGUUAAGUUAGAGGUGAAAUCCCGGGGCUCAACCCCGGAACUGCCUUUUGAUACUGGGCAGUCUAGAGUCCGGAAGAAGGUGAGUGGAAAUUCCAAGUGUAGAAGGUGAAAAUUCGUAAAAUAUUUCGGAAGGAACCACCAGAAGGCGAAAGGGCGGGCUUCACUGGGUCCCGGGUA